GAAUUUCGCUUUUGAUCGAAAAGUCUACCAAGCAACGUCCAAAUGACUUGAAAUUUUGCACACACAUCCUAAAUGACACAACAAACCUACACCAACUCCCGAAAUUCCAUUCUGACCACUAUAACAAAAUCUUACCUAUCAACCAGAAAAUGUUAAAAUUUCAAUUUCGCCAAUUCAAGCCGAAAUCUUCCACAGGCCUCCAAAUCACAUUCGAUCAGGCUCAUAAGUCCCAAAUCACCUAAUGGAGCUGACCAAAUUGUAGAAUUUCCGAUCCGAGACAUAUACCAACAAGUGAAAUCUUGGUCAAAUCUUCAAAUUUUAAGCUUCAAAGCGAGAAUUGUUCUUCCAACUUCACUCUGAUUAUCCUGAAAACUAAUACCGAUGAUUUACACAAGUCAUAAUACAUCACACGGGGUUGAUUAUGCCCGAGAAAUGGAGAGCAAAAUGUAAAAACACAAAACCGCUCGACUUGUUACAAUACAGCUUGACACCAAACGGGCAAUAUUCGAUCACUAGCUCCUACAAUGCAUCGAUGAGGCAAACAUGAAAGAUUGAAGACUUAUGAGUUAAUCUGGUCAUCACUAGCUCAACCAAAACAUAGUUUUGUGGAUUGGUUGGCUGUACAGGGCAGAUUGCUCACUAAAGCGAGGCUGAGACACAUUCAUAUUCCAGUGGUAGAUGAUACAUGCUGCCUCUAUGACAGACAAGCUAUGGAGACUCCCAUGCACUUAAAUGCGGAUUGUGACUGGAUAGAGAAUGUGCGAG
rnacentral:lncRNA from 1 species